rfam:Octopus bimaculoides Scaffold342284_contig_1, whole genome shotgun sequence.
GCCUCGGUAGCGCAGUAGGCAGCGCGUCAGUCUCAUAAUCAGGUAAAAUCUUUAGAGGAAUCUGAAGGUCGUGAGUUCGAUCCUCACCUGGGGCA